rnacentral:lncRNA from 1 species
GAAAAUGGAAUUGCACCCAUUGGAAGAGGUUGUGGGAGAUAGUGGAGUGUGAUGUCAUCCUAGGUCAUGGUGGGCCAUUUUUGUUGAAUAAAAGAAAGAGAAAAGAAAAGAAAAAGCCCCUCUUCUUCUCUCUCCUCCCUCUCUUCUUCCUCUCUCUCCCGUCGCCUCUCUUCUCCAUCUUCUUCUCCUUGCUUCUUCGGAUCCAGCAACCGAAGAAGGCUCGAUCGGAAGCCAGCAACCGCCACCAGCCGGAGCCUCGCCGCUUGUCCGUCACCACCGCCACCGUGCCGUCCGCUCGUCUCGCCCGCUCGCCCGACCGGCCGAAGACCAGCGAAGGUUGCAGCACCGUCGGAGGAGCUGCUCGCCGCCCACGCUCUACUCGCCGUCGCCGGAGUCGCCGACCUCGCCCCGCGUCGUCUCGUCGCCGAGCUGCCGUCCUUGCGCGCCGCUGCUGGCCGCGCUUCUUGGCGACCUUCUUGCUAGCUCGUCGUCCCGAGCUGCUGUUCAGCUCGCGCAGGAGCUGCCGGAGCUCCCUCCGGCCACCGUGAGGCCUCGCUUGGCCGCCGCCUCACCCGUCCGCGCCGCCCCAAGCUGCCGCCAGUCCUCCUCCGCCCUUUCCGACCCGAACCGGCGCCGGAUCUGCUCUCUCUCGGCCCCGAUCAGCAACCCAGAAAAUGGGUAUGGCAGCCCACGUUUGGCCCGUUUUGGCUGCCUUCCCGAGCCCGGAUGCUCGGCCCGCUUUGAGGAAAGUUGUUCUCCUCGGCGUCCUCGUCGUUUUGGUCCGCUCGGUUCACUAAUCCGGUGAGUUUAACUCACUAAACCUCGCUUAGAGGGUUAAUUAUGCUUUAGGUGUGAUUAGCUUAAGUUAAUUAAGCUUAGGUGGUUAGUUUAGUUUAUUUAAUUGACUUAGAUUAAGAGGUUUGUUUAAUUUAAAGCAUGUUUAAUUAAAUGCUAAGAGAGUUCAUUUAAUAAUAAACAUUGAUGUGACAUAAUAGGUUUUAUUUUUGAUUUAUUUAAAUGUUUCGAAAUUCUGGAAUUUAUAAUAUAAUAUUAUUUUAUAAUCCGAAAUUAUUAAAAUAUUAUUUUUUUUUAAAAAAAAAACGAAAAAACAUUAUUUUUUACCCCGGUUGCUCAGAAUUUCGUGCUGAUCGCUGCUGUGUAUUCGGAUUUUGAAAUUGAUGGUUGGAUAUUAUAAAUUGAGUGUGGAUUGCGAAAAAUAUGGUUAUUAUUAUUUAAUUAAUUUUCGGAAUAAAAUUUAUUAUUUAUUAAAAUUCGAAAAUUUCGUCGGGACCCUAAACUCUCAGAAUUUCGUGCCGAUCGCUGCUGUGUAUUUAGAAUUUGAAUUUGAUGAUUGAUUGUGGCAAAUUGAGUGUUGAUUGUGAUAAAUAUGGAUUUUAUUCAUAAAAUCCCAAGUGUCGAGUUCGGCAUUGAAAUUGGAUUGUUAAUGGCUAAUAUCGUAAUUGGAUUAUGUGAGUGAAAUGUAAAGUUUCCAAGGAUUGGUAUCGAAUUGUCAUGUGCUAGUUGUAAGGCUCGGGUCGCAGUAGUGGCUAAGCCGACUGGAUCCUUAUUAUGCUAGAAAUGCUGUCGAUAAAAUGACGUGGCUUGGGUCGCAGUAGUGGCGGGACCGACUGGACCUUUAUUCUUCUAGAAAUGCUGUCGAUAGAAUGACGUGGCUUUGGUCGCAGUAGUGGCGGGACCGACUGGACCUUUAUUGUUCUAGAGAUGCUGUCAAUAGAAUGACGUGGCUUGGGUCGCAGUAGUGGCGGGACCGACUGGACCUUUAUUCUUCUAGAAAUGCCGUCGAUAAAAUGACGUGGCUUGGUCGCAGUAGUGGCGGGACCGACUGGACCUUUAUUCUUCUAGAAAUGCUGUCGAUAGAAUGACGUGGCUUGGUCGCAGUAGUGGCGAGACCGAUUGGACCUUCAUUCUUCUAGAAAUGCCGUCGAUAGAAUGACGUGGCUUUGUCGCAGUAGUGGCGAGAUCGACUUGACCUUUAUUCUUCUCGAAAUGUCGUAAUGUUAAUAAAUAGAUAGCCGACCUGUGAGUAGGCUAUGCCCUUGUGUGGCGGUGAAUAAUAAUUAAAAUGCGUGCUAAGUGCGAUCGUGAUUUAUAUGAAAGUGAUGGCGUUCCAAUUGUUUGAAUUAUUAUUACUACCUGAGAUUAUGUGAUACAAAUUGUGCUAACCUGCAGGAAGGAAUUGAGGCGAGGUAAGUUCUCUGUGUAAUGUGGCUAGGCCACCCUUGGGCGUAUUUUCUUUCUAAUAGGGAUUUAGGGGGUUGAACUUGCUGAGACGUUGUCUCAAUGGUUAUUGAAUAACCAUUUCAGGUCCCUGGUGGACGGAGCAGCCAGAUAGCUUUGGUUGGCCUUGAGGAGUUGGAGAGGUGAAGUCAUAAGGAUUGGAGAUCAUGUCCGACUUGUAGGUCGUAGGACAAUUCAUUUUUAAGGGCCGGUCUUUUGUAGAUUUUUGGCCAUAGACCUCUAUUUGUAAUUCUGUUGAAUUAUGAAAGUGUUAUGUUGUGGUUUUGCUUCCUGCUUUUCUAUCCUGUAUUUAAUCGUCAGGGGUUUUAUAAUACGUUCCGCUUGCGCA